CCGAGUUUACAACUCCCAAACCCCUGUGAACAUACCUAUAUGUUGCCUCGGCGGAUCAGCCCGCGCCCCGUAAAACGGGACGGCCCGCCGCAAGGAUCCACAAACUCUGUUUUUACUGUAACUUCUGAGUAACAAAACAAAUAAAUCA
rnacentral:misc_RNA from 1 species